rnacentral:misc_RNA from 1 species
UCCGGUUUGUCACCGGCAGUCUCCUUAGAGUGCCCAACUGAAUGCUGGCAACUAAGGACAAGGGUUGCGCUCGUUGCGGGACUUAACCCAACAUCUCACGACACGAGCUGACGACAGCCAUGCACCACCUGUGCACGAGCCCCGAAGGGCUGCCGUGUUUCCACGACAUUCCCGUGCAUGUCAAGCCUUGGUAAGGUGGGGAUGACGUCGGAGAGUACGUCC